rnacentral:rRNA from 1 species
GAUGAACGCUGGCGGCGUGCCUAAUACAUGCAAGUCGAGCGAACGGACGAGAAGCUUGCUUUUCUGAUGUUAGCGGCGGACGGGUGAGUAACGCGUGGAUAACCUACCUAUAAGACUGGGAUAACUUCGGGAAACCGGAGCUAAUACCGGAUAAUAUUUUGAACCGCAUGGUUCAAAAGUGAAAGACGGUCUUGCUGUCACUUAUAGAUGGAUCCGCGCUGCAUUAGCUAGUUGGUAAGGUAACGGCUUACCAAGGCAACGAUGCAUAGCCGACCUGAGAGGCUGAUCGGCCACACUGGAACUGAGACACGGUCCAGACUCCUACGGGAGGCAGCAGUAGGGAAUCUUCCGCAAUGGGCGAAAGCCUGACGGAGCAACACCGCGUGAGUGAUGAAGGUCUUCGGAUCGUAAAACUCUGUUAUUAGGGAAGAACAUAUGUGUAAGUAACUGUGCACAUCUUGACGGUACCUAAUCAGAAAGCAACGGCUAACUACGUG